rnacentral:rRNA from 1 species
CUUCGGCCGUAAACCCCUGUCAUUUGCGAACAAAUUAAAUCUACCCAACGACGUGGAUUAUUGAUAGUAGCGAAAGAGGAAGGGACGGCUAACUCUGUGC